rnacentral:lncRNA from 1 species
AUCUAAAGACAUCUAUAGUUUUCAUUCAUGAUGGUGACGUACCACUACUGGAGUUCCAUUGUAAUAAAAAGUACCAAAUGAAUUGAUAUUUUCAAGAAUUAAAAAAAAUGGGAUAAAAAUUGAUUAAGUACCAGAUUGUUUUCAGAAACCAAAGCCCAAUAUUUUGUUGCUUGACAAUAUCAUCACGACAAGGUGGGCCCCAAAGGACACGAUGAACGUCCUACCAUAGAAUGAGUGGAUAAUUUUGAUGAUCUCACUCAUCUUUCAUUGCAUCUUUCGAAGAAUUUGGUUCAGAUUCCCUUGCCAUUAACCAACUUGCAAAGACAUAAACAAAGACUUUUGUUACAAGUACUUGCCACACACAAACUACAGUGUAACAGUAGUAAUAUGCUCUUCUGUGAUUUCAUUAUCUUGGACCGUGUUUGUAUAUAAUUGAGUGUCUCAAUUGAAUGUAUUCAGUGGGUUCGUGCGAUAGUAUGGUAGAUCUAAAAUAAUCACCUAUCAAUAAAAACCUAAACAUGCCUCACAUGGACCUUAAUUUUUGCAUCAGAGAGAUGGCUCAUCAAGGAAUGUUGAAAACACUUCGUGAAAGUAGUUUUCAACUAAACUGUUUACCCUAAAAAAAUUUAACCUGAAAAUUUAGUUCACAAACCCCAAAAAUUCAGUGGAAAAAAAUUCCGUAAUUCAUUUUCAUUUUCAUCAAAAAUUCCCUUGAUCUUUAAAUAAUUUGUAAAAGGAACAACUGUCAAGAAUACAUAACUACUGUCUAUAAACAACACAAGAGGCACAUCGAAAUGAUAAAAAUAUUCAAGAGAGAUCAAGGAAUGUACACACAUAACAUAUCAUAUUGGAUCCUAUUAUAAAGAAAUAGGUCGUACCAUGGGUUAUAGUAAUCCUUCCCAAGCCAUACUGAUCAAAUGAGUCAUAAUGGCCAAAGCAUAAAUCCAAUCCGUCAUUAAAGCAAAUUGUAAUCAACGACGACAAGUUUUGAUGGUGCAACCAAUUUGUAAACAAAAAUAUUGACUAUCGGCAGUUGUAAAAACUGUUACAACUAAAAGCAAUAAGAAAUUCUAAAUUACAACCGCUAGGAAGAAUAUCAAGAGGGUAUCGUUAUACACCACAAGAGAUAAUGAAGUUCUCUAACAUUCUCAUGAUUGCCAAGACACUUUUUCUUACUAUAAACGCUGUUCUUUUAUACGAAAGUAUAGAAGAAUAUAAAUUCACUACCACAAGUUGAUUACAAUCAACAUACAUAUAAUUGAUCUGACAUAGAUUUGGUAACAAUUGGCAACAAUAAAAGUAAGUGAAAUCUGGUAGAAAUUAGUGUCAUGAAUAAAAAAUAUGGCGGGAGUAAAGGACGAUGGAAACCAAUACUACAUUAAUGUGUAAAUAUAUUUUAAUAAAGAAGGGAGUUUAAGGGAAGUUUAAUGAAAAAGCCUUCAACCACUGUGGAGUAUGCAGCCUCACCCCUGUACAGAGAGGCUAUUUUAGUACUUCUAACCAUGAUACCUAAAUUGCAACGGACCAAUGUUACUCUUCGCAAGGCCAGUAUCAUUUAAACAAUAAAUUGAAAUUAUAAAAAUAGCAUUAACCAUAAAUGGCUAUCGUGGCAAGGUUUUCCCAAUAUCCCAUGUGGACUUUUGCAUGGGCACACCACAUGCUAACAAUUCAGCACUUAGCGAUUGCCUAGUAGAGAAAAGAAAACUUGAAACCAAUGUUAUAAUGUCGUUGCAGAUGGAAAAGAGUCUCAAAAAAAAAGUAGGGACAGAGAGAGGUGGUAAGAUUACCUUGAUAGCCUUACCCCAGUUUUUGUGUAAGAGGCUGAAUUCCUUGACUUGAACUCACGUCACGAUGUUUCAGUGGGAUGCACUUUAGGAAUCAGCAAUCUCGUGUCAGAAAGACAGAAGGGAAUAAAGGGGCUAACCGGGGAAGGAAAAAGGGUUUGAUUUAGGUGGAGAUCAUUGGGUCUUCAUCCAAUAGCAGAGGAAGAUUCCCAGUCAAAAGUGCUAGUUCCUGUAUUGGAGUUUGGAAAGCAUGGAAGUGAGCUAUAAGCGAGGAUAAGGAAAGCAAAAGAGAAGUGUGCAGGCAAGUCGACGAUCAAUCCAACAGUAAAAAAACUUAUGGCAGGUACUUCUAAUUGUCAAGGACAAGGAAAAGGGUUUGGGGGAAAGAGAAAAUAUCCAUCUAGUGACUGAACCAUCCCUUCCUCUUUGCUAUGCUCGUGAUUUUGAUUUAGUAUUCUCCUUUCUCUUCGGAAAACAAGCUAAGGCUUUUCGGGAACAAAAGGAACCCUUCUAAUCAUUAUGUAUACUUUAUCGGGGAAUAGCAGCACCCCCACCCACCCACCCCCACCCCCCACAUAUAGCCCGGUUCAAGUCCUAGUCCAGUUAGCGUGUCUAUUGCCUGUGCCUUCCAGGACAGCAAGAGAAAGGACCAGAAAUAGGUUAACGGGUCGAGUGCAUGACCCCUGAGAAUACGGUUUGAUUUUAGUGAUGAGAGAGAUGGUUUUGAGAUGUUUUGAUUCAACUUCGGGGGAAAAAAAAAAAAACAGAAUGAUCAGGAAUGAGAUCUGACACCAUUGCCAAUACUCCAAUGAAUCUAAAAACGGCCUUAGUGGCACAGUAAAAUCCACUUGCGCCCACCCAGCUUUUCCAGAUGCAUUUGGAUUCAAACCAGCACUUGCAGGAAGACUUCAUCCUUUGAAACAACCGGUAUCAGGAUCUUAACCAAUUCUCGUUCUUCCUCAAGAUGAACGGCUAGGAGUAGUAGCGUAAAUCCCAACUAUUCUCCCUCAUGAAAGAUGAUUACAAUUAAAAAAACCCGGAUCAAUUUCCCUUUGUUGAGAGAUUCUAUUAACCACUACGGAUACAAAGAAGCAGGAAAGCUGUAUAAUCAGAGGCUCUUUAGUCCACUCGAGAUCCUAGUCCGACUCAACCCCUUAGAGGAACCUGCUUAUCCUUCUCUAUCAGUUAAUCGAAACAACCAGUACAGGACAUGACCAUCCCUUCAUACUUCCAUUCGACGAAAGAUAGAGCUUUUGUAGGCAGGAAUUGAACAAGGCCUUAGCAACUUUCAAAUCACAUCUUUUGCCCUAUUCCCGAAAGAACUCACGGCUACGGCAAUGAUGUGCUCAAUUGAUCACUCUUGACGCAACUAGUUGCUAACGUAAUAACCGUAUUUUUAAGUUUGGGUUGUUUGUAAUUGAAGUUUCAGAACUUUUGGGAUAAAAUUAAAGAAGAUAUUUAAGUUUAUAUAAUGUAAUUAUAAUUUUGUAAAAGAUGGAGGACAAAUGUAAUUUUUAGUUAGUUAGUGGAGUGUAUCUUUCGGCCAUAAGAAAGACAGAUAAAAAAAAAAAGAAUAGAAAACUAGAAAAAGAAAGAAAAAGGAGAAGAAAGAAAAUAAAGAGAAAGGAAAAGAAAUAAUGUUAUGGUGUUUGUUAAGUUGUGUAGUUUAGAGAGAGAAGAGAGGGAGAGAACGAGAGCGCACAGAGAGGAGGGAAGAAGAAAGAAAGAAAUAGAGAGAGAGCACGAAUGUGAAGAAAGCAUGAGAGAUGGGGAGAAGAAAUUAUUUGCGUGUGGUUCGCGUUAAAAUGAAAGACAUGGGUGUAGAUCAACGGUGAGAUGAUGUCGGAUCAAGGUGAAAUUUUAGUAUGAUGAUCAGGGAGCCAUAUCUUCAUAUCUAGUGGGUGAAUUUCAAUUUGAGGUAAGCAGGAGCGUAUACAAUUGCUUUCUAAACUCCGGAGGGUUUUUUUCUAAAAUAUAUGAUUUUGUAUUCAUCUUGAGAUGUGUGCAAUCGUGUUGAAUUCUGGUAUUUUUUGGCAUCGUGAAUGUAUGAUGUAUUAUUGAGGCUAAACUAAAUUGCUAUGGAAUGAAAAUGGUAACAUGUACUGAGUGGAUCCGCCAAUAGUUCCAAUAAAGACCGGGAAAAGCCGAGAGCUAGGAGACGUGGGAGACGGCACGAUCCACUAGUAAUGUAUCAGGAAGACCUGGUAUGAGGUCUUUGAUGAAUGAAAUAUUGAUUUUGUUGUGCUACUCUGACAUUUGUUGUGUUGAAGGGCCAUUUAUUGAUUCGUUGAACAUAUUCCCGUCGAUUGUAUACACUUCCCUGUUUACAAAUUAUUUUUCAGGUGGACGUGGGUGUUCGGAUAUACGGAGUGAUUGUGUGUGGUCGAGUGAAAGACUUGAAGAUUUUGAUCCUUUUUUGUAAUUACAUUAUAUUUGGAGACAUUGUGAAAAAUAAACAUUUGGAGACGAUUGAAAUAUUGAGGAAAAAUAGUGGCUCUGAUUGUAUUGAGAAAAAAUACGGCGAAAUUAGGUAAUUAAUUAACGCCCGGUGAGGGUACGAGUCGUUUACAAUUUUCCAUUCCAUAGCAUUAGCCAUCAAAUAAUAAAAUCAUACAUAUCACGGAUUCCACACAAAAUACCAUGAAUUUCAACAGAUAGCACACAUGUCAAGAGGAAUAAAAAUCAAGAUAUUAGGAAAAACACUCGGAGUUUAGAAAGCAUAGUGUAUACCUCCUGCUUACCUCAAAUUGAAAUUCACACCACUAAUUAUGAGAUCUGGCUCCACAUGAUCAUAUUACUAAAAUUUCCCUGAUCAGACAUCAUCUCACCGUGAUAUAACCCAGGUCUUCAUUAUUAAAGACGAACCACACCAAAUAAUUUCUCCCAUCUCUAAUUCCUUUCUUCACAUCAGUGCCUCUCUAUUUCUUUUCUUUCUUUCUUCCCCUCCUCUUGUGCGCUCUCUUUCUCCUAUCUUUCUCCUUAAACUAAACAACCUACAACAAAAACAUAAUCAUAUUUUCUUUUCCCUUUUCUCUUUAUUCUUUCUCCUUUUUCUCUUUUUUCUAUUUUCUAUUCUUUUUUUUUUACUUUGUCUUAUUUAUGGCCGAAAGAUACACUCCUCCACUAACUAAAAAUACCAUUUUGUCCCUCCAUCUUUUACAAAAUUAUAUUACAUUAUAUAAACUUAAAUACUUCUUUAAAUUUUAUCCAAAAGUUAUGAAUAUUUCAAUUACAACCCAAAACUUAAAAAUCGGGUUAUUACAAUCUUCCCUCUUAAAAAAAAUUUCGUCAUCGAAAAUUUAAAAAGUUUAUGUUGUGUCACUAUCAAAAAUACACGCUUCACUGGCACUCUAAUUACCAAAAAUGUUUUACUCCCACACAAUCUCAUAUACGAUCUAACAUCUAAACCUCCCACACGAUCCAUGUGUAAGACCUAAAGCCUAGCUUGUGAUACCAGUUGUACGACCUCCUUGACCCUCCCGGGCGUUAAUUAAUUACCUAAUUUCGCCGAUUUUCCUUCAAAUACAAAUCAGAGCAUAUUUUCCUCAACUAUUCAAUGGCUCCAAAUGUUUAUUUUUACAAUGUCUCCAAAUAUAAUUUAAUUACAAAAAAGAUCAAAUCUUCAGUCUUUUUCACUCGACCCAUCUCGUAUUAAUCCGAACACCCACGGUCCACCUGAAAAAAAAAUAAUUUUUAAAAGGGAAAGUAUACAAUACGACGGGAAUAGUUCAACGAAAUCAAUAAAUGGCUCAACAAAAAUGUCAGAGUAGCACAACAAAAUAAUAUGUCAUCAAAGACCUCAUACAAGGUCUUUCCUGAUACAUUACUAGUGAUCGGCUCAUCCACGUUCCUAGCUAUCGGCUUUUCCCGCGUCUAAUAGUGGAACUAUUGGCGGAUCACUCAGUACAUGACCAUUUCAUUCCAUAGAUUUAGCAUCAAAUUAAAAAUCAUACAUAUCACGAUUGCCAACAAAAUACCAGAAUUUCAACAGAUAGCCACACAUGCUCAAGAUGAAUACAAAAUCAGAUAUUUUAGAAAAACACUCCGGAGUUUAGAAAGCAUAUUGUAGACUCUGCUUACCUCAAAUUGAAAUUCACACCACUAGAUUGAAGUCUGGCUCCCAUGAUCAUCAUCCUAAAAAAGGUCACCUGAUACGACAUCAUCUCACGUGAUCUACACCCAGUCUUUCAUUAUUAAAGACGAACCCAACCAAAUAAUUUCUCAAUCUCUCAUCCUUUCUUCACAUCAGUGCUCUCUCUCUAUUCUUUCUUUCUUUCUUCCCCUCCUCUCUGUGCGCUCUCAUUCUCUCCAUCUCUUCUCUCCUUAAACUAACACACCUAACAAAAACAUAAUCAUUUAUUUCUUUCCUUUCUCUUUAUUCUUUCUCCUUUCUUUCUUUUCUAUGUUCUAUUAUUUUUUUGUAUCUUGUCUUUCUUUAUGGCCGAAAAGAUACAUCCCUAACUAAAAAUUACAUUUUUGUCCUCUAUCUUUUAACAAAAUUAUAUACAUAUAUAAACUUAAAUAUCUCUUUAAUUUUAUCCCAAAAGUUAUGGAAUAUUUCAAUUACAACCAAAACUUAAAAACGGGUUAACACCACAAAUCCAUACUUCCCCAAAAACCCAAUCUGUGUCAAUUCGUUCGAAAACUUAUCUUGCUACUCGGACACCAAACUCCAAGUUGCCAAAGUCUGCUAUGUUAGGAAUUCCUAGUGCCUUGGUAUUUGGGGGGCCUAGGAUGAGGCCUCAUACUUUCGUGUUAUUCGUUCAAUCUGCGCUCGAUUGUCAUGCGAAUGACAAUAAAUUGUCAGCUCACACUCCUGCACAUUGUUAAAUAGCAACUAAGUCAAUCACAGAAAAGCUUCCACACGAAACAAAGCUUCCGCUGCCGCAUUCGCCCCUUACUCCAAAAAGGGCGCAAUAUCGAGAAGCUCGAUCAGUUGGAGUAACAAUUUUGAGAUGCCUUCACAUUUAAAAUGUCGCUAAAAACAAUAUUCUAGUAAGAAAUGACCAUGCAAGACAAAAAAGACUGUUGCUAAAGCAAUAUUCCGGUCAGAAAUUACCAUGCAAAACAAAAAAGGCUCUUGCUAAAACAAUAUUUAUGGUUAUGAAGGGCAAGACAAGGUGAUUAUCUCUUGAGCUUUCUAAGGGUUAUGGAGUGCAUUAUUUUCUGGUGCAACUUCUCCAUUCCCCAGCCUGAGUCUGGUGGAAUGCACAACGCUGGAUAGAGAACAAGGCAGUAAAAAAUGGAUUGAGGCUGGUGGACUUUUAAAGACUUGGCAUAAGGUCAGUAAACUUUUUCAAAGUAAUUAUUGUUCCUCGUGAAAUAAUAAUAAUUGUUUGAUAACCUCUCUUGCAACUAAUUAGUCCAUUUCUACACUCAAAACUAUUAAACACGCGGUUACAGCUCCAUGUCAAUCUUCCAAAAAGACAUAAUUAGGUUGUGAAAUUAUACAAAAUAGCAUAAUCUAUAGGGAAUAUGACCUAAAGGUUCAAGAUUUUAACAUAGAAAGUUCAAUCUCACCAAAUUACCUAAAGUUCAUCUCAUAACAAGUCAAACUCGUUUAGACAAAUCACAACAAAGAAAAAAAUAUCAUUUUUUCAUAUUCAAAAAAGAAUGUCACGUGCAAAGCAAAAGUUUUACAAAACAGCCAACACAAGUUUCUAAAGCCUUUGAGAAAUGGAGAAAUAGAAAUCAUGGGAUUGCAAACCUACAGAUGAAGAAAUAGCCAUUUACCUUUUGGUCCUUGAAAAAAAAAACACUUUCUUCCUUAUCAAUACAUAAUAGAAGAUAGAAUGUAACUUUUCCACAUGCUUCCCCCGAAACCUUUGAGAAUUUAUUGUCAUAAAUCCAGAGAAAUCAAUCUGUCAAAGUCAAACAAAAUAGUAAAUUAAGAAAUAUAGAAGAAAGAGAUGACAAGAAAUAACCAAAGAACGACGACAUGCCAAAUGCCAAAAUCACAUUUUAAAUUAGCAACAUUUGAACAAUGUAGGAAAUAUUACCUUUACUCGGACUGAUGGAAGCUUGGGCUCUGGUGUGGCAAUAUUUUUUGGCUAGGCUUGUCGGUCACAUUUUUCAUUUAAAACAAUGUAAAGGUAGGAAAAUACAAUUAUGGAAAAAAAUAAUAGAGUGAUAGAAGAACAUGGUACUGUAAGCAAAUAAAGAGAUGAUGUUAACUUAAUGGGCAUAAGAACCAGUACGAAGAAAUCAGACAAGGCGAUGAAGCAAAAUUUAUGGAACUGACCUUUGCCAGAUAAAGGUUUGGCGGUGGUCAUGAUCACUUUUUGCUCUUCUCCAAUUCCUAUUUCUCGGCUGAUUCUGUCCAAAGCCCUCAAAACUUCAACUGCCCAACCUUUAGAAAAUAUUCCCAAAACCGUUGCAGCAUUGGCUGCUGAAAAUGCUACUUCAGCAGCAUCAAACGUUUUAAACCUGAGAAAUCCAGUCCCUCUUGAUCUCCUGCAGAUAUGGACAAGGUAUACAGAAUUAGAGUUGUUCACAUAGAGUGAAGAAUCAAACGAGCCAUUCAUACUUGGUGACUUGAUGAAGAACAGGGAUGAAGGAUUGCACUUCCCCAUAUCCCGAAAAACGCUUGCUAGCGUCUUCAUAUCAAUGUCAAAAGAAAAAGUUGCUUGGAAAAUGUCUCCUCGAUCAUCUCUCCAAUCUGCCGCUUUAAGAUUUGUCAGUUUAAUUUUCCCAGAUUUCUCAGGUUGUGUCAUGCCUUGAUAUAAUUAGCAGACCCAUCAGAGGCCUGUUUGGUACAUUGCUUUCGUCAUGUCGCCCUUCCAUUAGAGUUGGUUGGGAAUCACCCAUCACACAAAAGUAGGUAGUCCUUAGUUAGGAUGAGAUCAAAACUAUUAAGACUUUUCUUGCAACAUUGCUUCUCAUCAAAUCAAAUGGGAGGAACGUCUCCUUUCUCUAUCAUUCAGAGUCAUCAAAAGACCAUCAGGUUGUGGGUUUCUAACACAGCGCUAUCCUACAAGUCAUCACUGAUACCGUCGCCAUCCUUUGCGUUUCCAUUAUCCUUGUCUAUAAAAAUCAAAAAUUAUGAUUGACGAGACUUGCAGAGCCAUAUCCCUAUGCUCCAUAGUAAAAACGUUACGGGAACUUUGAGCUCGCAAUCAACAAAAAGGAACAACAAACUACACUGACAAGCCAGGAAGAUCUUGAUUAGACAAUGAAAAACUGCAAUGCAUCAACAAUUGCAGAAAAAACGAUGCCAAUAAAUGACUUUUUAAUCUAUCUAUUGAUACAAUGAGGUUGAUGCAUGAUGGGAUGCGUCCACACUCAGAUAUUAGCCCUCUCCUUUAGGCGAACAGUUCCAGUUUUGUAAACUCAUUGGUUCCCCCUCUCCUACAAAAUGAGCCUGCCUUUAUUUCACCAUCCUCCAUCCCCCACCAACAAAAACAAGAAAUGAAUAAUCAAAACUAGAUAGAACAGAACCGUUAUAUGAUUUAUUUUAUUUUUGUUAUUACUACUUUUUGUUCAUGAAUCUGGUUGGGGAAGAAAGAGUCAAAAGUUCGACAAAAAAAUACUCACCAGGUGGUCAGACAGCAAAUAGUUCCCCUUGAUCAAAUUUUUCACUCCCUGCACAAUAAUCAAGACCUCAGUUUCACUAUGUUACAUGGGCUCUUAUAAAUGGUGCAAGUGCCUGUGUCGAUAAUAGACUCUUGGGUAAGGUGGUAUAGCGAAAUUGAACCAACCAUUAUUAGGAUACAGAACUCUCAGUCUAUGCGUUAAAUGCUCCAGUGUCAGAUGAGCAUAGUUAGCAGCUUCAUGACUAUGCUUAGUUCAAGCAAUUGCAAAGGGAUAACAUUCACUAUCUAGGUGCCAUGGGAGCUAAAAACCAUUCCACUCAGAAAAUGAAAUAAAGAUAAGAAAAUGAAAAUUUAUGUGUCCCAUCUGGAAGCUACAUGAAUGAAUAGAUGAAUCGAUACUUCAAGUAACAUAUCACAUAGGAUAUACCUUCAACGCACUUUUAGAAUGGGGCUUCCAGAUAUAUGGUAAGCGCUCUUCUCCUUGCCAACAAAGGAUGGGACCUAAAAAAGAAGCCUUGAAGCUCAAUCAAAAACAUAACAGAUUCCUCAUUGUCCCAGUAUGCAGCUCAUAGUACAUUAAAUAUAUGCGAGGCUAUAUGUCAGGAGUAUAAUGUGCACAAAGAAACCCAUCUAUCGAUCCAUGACCAGCCAGAGACAUAUAAUAACUUAACCAUAGACACCUUUUAGCCCGAAAUAAAGCGAUCCCACCGUCAGAAUGUACUCAAUAAAAUUGUUACAGUCAAAAUUUUUUUUUCUAUAUUCAUCAAAAAAAUAUUGAGAUUACAGUGGAUUUGCAUCAAUGACGCAACUGUCUAUUUAAGCUUUUUUGACCAAGCAUAAAUAGAUGAAGUUCCAAUGUUUGCAUAAGCAUCUAGUUGAAAGAGAACAGUACAAUUGCCAGAUCUACAUGAGAACUGCACGCAUGUAACUCUUAGGUUGUAGUUAGAAUCAAAAAUUGGUGAGGGUAAAAGAAAUAGAAUGAAAUAGGUAGAUUAUCCAAUGGUAACCAAGUGGGUUGGAGCGUCUCACUUUUCCAGUUUCCAGUUUCCUUUUUUCUCACCAAAUACUGUCAUCCAAAUACAGCCUUAAGAUAAGAAUGAGAAAUAGUGGACCUUCACUAUUCAGUAAAUAAAAAUAUCAGACACAGAAAGAUUGAAAAAGGUAAAGAGGCAUCUUACCAAAUAAUGAAG